GAUGUGACGUCAUCUCUAAAGCGGAAAGAAAAAUGUCCGGUGUCAGGAGACACGGUGGCAUUUCACAUGGCUGAGUUCGAUUUACUCUCGCUGAUGUCCUGCUCUCCCGCUGUGUAUGGAAUGGAGAGAAAUUGUGCACCUAACCUGAUUUAAAUGGAGACUGAAGAUUAACCAGUCAUGCUAGGGAAAGUGGGUUCCCUGCGACCCUGAAGGAUAAGCAGUCUAGAAAAUGGAUGGAUGGAUGCACUUUUUCCUCUGACUAUUCAACAUCCUCCAAUGUCUGUCUCGCCAGCGCACCACUAGCUAUGUGCCACUAGCAUGGCUGAGUGGCUUUCUAUCAUAAGCCUGCUAAGUUAGCUGGAUUCUCUUAAUUCACGUUUCCUGAAGCUCUAGAUUAUCUCCAUCUGGUGCCCUCUUCCACAGCGCACAGUUCACUGACAAGACUCGUGUAACGCUCCCCUCUCUUAAAUGUAGAGAUGAAACAGGGGAAGCAGGAACAUCUGGAGAGCAGACCUCAGCAGGUUAAGGUAAACAGCUUCUCCUUUUAUGGAAGAAUACAGAGGUACAGCAUGGAAGGCUUUCAAAGCUCCACGGGGGCCGCAACAUCUUGCUUCAAUUUGCUGAGGAAUCCAUCCACCUCUCCUGGACCUUACAGGAACCCUGGUUUCCAGUGUAAAAGGAUGCAAAGCAGCCCCUGAGCAUCACCGAGCCUCCACCAUGCUCGACUGUGGACAGAGUGUUCUUUCUUCAUUCUUCUUCCUCCAGACACACCGCUGAUCCAUCGUGCUGAAAAGUUCCAGUUUUGCUCCAUCGCUCCACAGAACAGAAUCCCAAAACUUCUGUGGCUUAUUUAUAUGAUUUUGAGCCGACAUUACUUGUGCUUUUGGGUCAGUAGUGGUGAACGUCUUGGAGUUCUG
ensembl:lncRNA